AUGAACAUUGCCCUCCUGACUAGGUGGCUUUGGCGGAUUACGAACGCAGAGGGUGGCUUAUGGCUCCGCAUCAUCCAGCAGAAAUACCUCCAUGGCCAGCUGCUCGCCUUCUGUCAGCGGUCCGGUGGCUCCCAGUUCUGGCAAUCCAUCAUACAGCUCCUCCCAUUCCUCCGCAUCGGGACCUCGAUUGCGGUUGGAUCUGGCACCGCCACGCUGUUUUGGUUCGAUCGCUGGGUUGGGGAUGCCCCCUUCACGGCUCGUUUUCCUGACCUGUUCACCAUCGCGGUAGACCCGCGGAUUUCUGUCGCGUUGGCCCUUAUUGACUUAGGGCAACUCGCGUUCCGGAGACCAUUUGGACCGGCUGAGAAUGUUGAUUGGCAUGACUUGCUCGACUGCAUCGCGCUGCAUGAGCCUGAGCUAGAUGUGGGAGAUGAAUGCACCAGACGACGCCUAGAGCCAUCGGGUCUAUUCUCCACUAAAUCACUCUACCAGGCUAUCGCCCCCUCUCCGGGACCCGAGGCUCUUACCACCAUCUGCGAGAUCCGGCUCCCCUUGAAAAUUAGGAUUUUCUUGUGGCAAUGGAUCCGCGGCCGCCUUCCGUCCAGCGUGGAGGUCCUGAAACGCAACGGCCCUGGCGAUGGGCGUUGCCCGCUCUGCGGGCCUGAAGAGGAUUCGAACCAUAUCUUCUUCACAUGCGUGUCCGCACAGUUUCUCUGGAGCUGUUUUCGUGAAAUAGUGGGUGAAAGCUGGGACCACAACAACUUCCCCUCUCUCUCUCUCCGCCGAACUCCAGGCGUUACCACCCUCGUCUCGCCACAUUAG
rnacentral:rRNA from 1 species